GCGAUCAUAGCUCAGUUGGUUAGAGUAUCGGUUUGUGGUACCGAGGGUCGUGGGUUCGAACCCCACUGUUCGCC
rnacentral:tRNA from 1 species